UUCAAGCAAAAGGAAACCAAAAUCCAGCGUAAAACCCUAAUCCCAAUUGUUCAACCUUCAACAAACCUGGAAACAAAAUCCUUCUCCUCCAAAUCCAACCUGAUAAAAAAUUGAAAAAGUAUAUACAAGGAUCCUCUUUCUCAUUCCUUCCUCGCGUAACCUAAUUCCUCCUACCUUUCUCGCGUAACCUAAUUCCAACCUCCUUCCUCGCGUCUCCUAUGUUCCACUUCUCUGCGGCAUUCUUCGAUUCUCCGUUUCGGUACGAUCCUCUUCUCCACUUCUCCGCUUCGAUUUGAUUCCUUUGUUGAGGUACCAACAAAAGCUUCCCGUUGUCAAUUAUUUGUGCUAACAGGGAUUGGAAAAUAGGUCAAGCUUUUGGAUGCUGAUAUUAAUUAUUGAACAAUAUUUCUUCUUUUUAAUGUAUAUUUGAUGAUACAAUUACAAUGAAGAAUGAUAAAGGACCGGAGCUGCAUAAAGAGAGAUUCAAAAAUAAGAAACGUGGAAAACAAGUUUAUGUUUCAUUUCCGCCUCCUCCACCACCGAUAAUCGUGGUAAUGUAUUUUGUACUAGAUCUAUUUUUCCUUUGUUUCACUCAAUUUGAGUUUAUGUUUGUAAUCUUAGUUAGUUGGAAUGGACAUGUAUUGGAUUAGGCUAAUUUGCGUGAUAUGAGCUGGUCAUAUUGAUCAUUCUGCUAGAGUCAUGAAAGUGAUAACAUGGAAUAGGUCUUUCAAGGGUGUGUCAAACGGAGAGGGUGCUAUAGAACUGAAAUUUCUCUAAUGUAUGCUCUACCUAUAGCUUUUUUGAUCUCCCUUCCCUGGUCUUCAACAAUAUUCUGCAUCUCUUUUGUGAUUUUUGUUUGUUGUUUGUUUAUUUUUUAUUACUAAUACAUGUUUAACUUCAAUCUCUCGGGAAAACGAGGAAAUAUUUGAAAGGAAGGGUGCAUAAUACAUUUGAUUCUUUCUUUUUUGACUGCGAUUAUCUUGUUGGAACGCUGCUGAAGAAGCAAGGUUAAGGGAGGAAUUUGAGAGGGAGGGAAGAAAACUUCCUCCUAAAGAAGAGUCACAAACUUUUGAUUCAAAUGUAAUCACGCCUGGCACCGAAUUCAUGGCUGUUUAUCAAUUGCACUUCAAUACUAUUUUUUUAAUCAUUUCAUGGUUUGUUAUAACUACUUGAUGUAUUUGAGUAAUAUGCUUUAUUAAUCAUGUAAAUUAAUCAUGUGCUAUAUGUUUUACAUUUAUAACAUGUGUGUGAUUUUCUGCAUGUCGAUUGCUACAAUGGAGUAGUCUCUAAACCUCAGUUGGUAUCAGCUACUUAUUGAAGUUUUAUUUUCAAGUGGAAAUUACACCAUAUCGUAUUUUAAGAACCUUAUAAAUCUAUGAUUUAAUUGCUUAAAAAAGGAAUUGCAGGUUUUAUGUGUGCAUUUCCGACCCUCUGAAGAUGCUCCUGCUACUCUGUGGUGAGAAAUACUUAUGAAUAAUAGUCUUGAAAUGUAUGACAGGACACCAAAAGAAAUCUAAGCACUGGAAGAAUUGAAAUGCUUAUUUAGUUCAUGAUGCUUUUUAAUUGAGCUAAUGAUUUUGUAUAUUUUUAAUUUUUUUUUUGUUUACUGUUGUUUUCCAGCUUUCUGCAGCCGGCUGAUAGUAAUAAUACAGAGCUUCAACAAUGGUUGUGCAAGGAGAAAGUUAGGUAGGUUACUUGUAUGAUAUUUCGUAGAAAUUUUUCAGGAUGGAUAUUAGUUUCUUUUAGAUUUAGUUGUUUCUGUUUGUAAAGUUUUUCCCUUGAUGUGUUUGAAGUAACCGGCAUCGUGUAUUUCAUUACCCUAAUUAUGAUUUACCAUUUCACAUUUGGCAUGCUACACACAAGGUGCAAAUCUUUGAGUGCUUGAACCUCCUUAUGCCGAAAGGCCCCAAUUAUCUAUCAGAAAUGACAAGAUGAUCUUUUUAAUUGAAAAUCAAUAAUUCAUUGAUGACUUUUUGAUAGUGUUGCAGGCAGACUUCAUUAUCUUUAUCUUUACAGGGUCUUGUGAGUAUUUUUAGUACCUCGUUCUAUAGCAUUUCAUGUGACAAAGGGAGUAAAAAAGGAGGAACUUGCUACCAGAUUGACAGAGGCAGACCUUUCCUCAUCUACCAUAAAACGACUCAGUGAGCUUGAAGAAAACGUUGGGAAGUUAGAGUCAAAACUCAAUGUGAUGCCUCCUGAGAAAGAGGAGCUACUGAAUGUUGCAGUUUGUCGUGUGGAUGUCGUGGAAGCAGAGCUCAUUGCAGCGAAGAAGGCUUUGUACGAGGCUUUAAUAAGACAAGAAGAAAUUUUGGCUUACACAGACAGACACGGAAAAAGCAAAUUCAAGGCAAGUCAAAGUGCUGGAAAAGUGACAGUGUACAGGACAGUUAGUGGCUAUCUCUCACUUUGUGUGUGCGCGCGAGUGUACGACUAGGAGAUUAGAUUGACAUGUACAAUAAUGUUGAUUCUGUAUGAUCGUUUUCAAUACUUCAUUUGAAUGCUUGGGUAUUGAAUAAUAUUACAUCCACACAUGUAAUGACAUAUACUGACAUAUUUAUGUCAAUUUGCUUGUAAUAUUAAUCUUGGGUAUUGAAUAAUAUUAAUCUUCAGUGUGUUCUUUAUCUUUUCUUGCACUUUAUCAUUAUCACAAGGUCAAAGUUCUCACCUUGCUAAUGUUUUUGAUAAUGAAGAUGAUAAGCAAAGAUCUUUUUACUCUUCUCUUUGUGUACAAAGAAUGGGAUGCUCUGCCUCGGGAGAGGAGGAAUAAGUGGUGUUGGGAAAACAGCAUCAAUGCUAAAUGUAUGAUAAAUGGUGUUGAUGUUAGGGCUAUUGAAGGCUUUCUUGAACUUUUUCUUCUGUUGUUUGCAAGAAAAUGAGUCUUGGAAGAGAAUGCAGUAGCUGCUGAAGAAAAGAAGUGUGAUAAUAACUGUUUGAGAAGUAAUGGUAGAUAGCUUAGGGAUUUAUAAUUUGGGAAGUUAGUUUUAGAUGCAUAGGUUCUGUUAUUGUGGAUUCAGUUUUCUGUUUGAGAACUACAUGGCAGCUGGCUAGGUUAACAUGUAUUUUCAAUCAUUCAACAAAAUAUUGAAAUAUUUGUAUCAUUUGAUGCAGCUGGUAAUAAUUAUUGGUUUUUGAU